rnacentral:rRNA from 1 species
AGUGAACGCUGGCGGUAGGCCUAACACAUGCAAGUCGAACGGCAGCACAGUAAGAGCUUGCUCUUACGGGUGGCGAGUGGCGGACGGGUGAGGAAUACAUCGGAAUCUACUUUUUCGUGGGGGAUAACGUAGGGAAACUUACGCUAAUACCGCAUACGACCUACGGGUGAAAGCAGGGGAUCUUCGGACCUUGCGCGAUUGAAUGAGCCGAUGUCGGAUUAGCUAGUUGGCGGGGUAAAGGCCCACCAAGGCGACGAUCCGUAGCCGGUCUGAGAGGAUGAGCGGCCACACGGGAAAUGAGACACGGUCCAGACUCCGACGGGAGGCAGCAGUAGGGAAUCUUGCGCAAUGGGCGAAAGCCUGACGGAGCAACGCCGCGGGAGGGAUGAAGGUCUUCGGAUCGUAAAACGCUGUUAUUAGGGAAGAACAUAUGUGGAAGUAACUGGGCACAUCGUGACGGUACCUAAUCAGAAAGCAACGGCUAACUACGUG